rnacentral:lncRNA from 1 species
CUGGGCAUCUCUCAGCCUAGUCCAGAUGACAGAACAAAUUAAUCAUCCCAGUGAUAUAGAGUGUAGUCAUUAAAAUGGCAAUGAGGAAGAAUAAUGAAGACAUGGGGAAAUGCUCCCCAGCAAAUUCCUAACAUGGAAUACAGUAAGAUUCCAUUUUUGAAAGUUUUAUGUAUGCAUAGAAAAUUGAUUAGAAAAGGCAUAUUCUAAAUAUUAGUAAUGGGCAAAAUUAAUGUUAGUCAUGGCUAUCUUGGGUAGUAAAAUGAUGAUGGUUUUCCAUUCUUAUUAUUCCUUACCUUUACUUUAAAAAAUAUCCUAUAGUAAACAUGUAUUACUUUGGUAAUUUGCAAACAUAAAAACUCAACAUAGCUUGAAUAGGUUAAUGUUUGAAAAAGUGGAGAGUCACAUUAUACUAUGUGAUUUAACUCUUCCUUUCUCUUAUAUUUCUUAGGUUCAUUUUUGUGAACCCAAUUGCUUUGGGCAGAGAUUGGAGUUUGACUAGGCAGCUAAGUCUUGUGGUUUGCCCUGUGCUAUAAAUUUUUUGACCCACACAUUGCUCUGCUGUGGGGAUACCGAAACACUUCAUAAAUGUUUUCACUUGAAUUAUCAUCAUGAGCACAUGCUUCAAUAACAGGCACCAUUUUGGAAAUUCUGUUCACAAUUUACGAACUUGCAGAAUUACUGAAUCUAUUUCCUGUACCAUAUCCCUCCUGGAGUACAAGUGAAAUACAAAAAUAAAUACCAAACAAUUAUGGUGAAGAGAAUGAUGAAAUCACAUGAAAAAUAAAAUUAUUGCUAUUUUAUUUGAACCUUGGAGAAGUUUAAUUUUAUUAUAAAAGUGGGAAAAUGUGUGCUUUUAACUAUAUAUAAAUUAUGUUGGAAUUACAACAUGAUGGCUGUUACAAUCGCAUUUUCUCUAAUACUAAUGUGCUAGGCUGGUAGAAAAUUAUAAUGUGGAUGUGGAAAGUGACUAGAAAAUGUUACAGUUUACAGGGUUGGGGAGGCUGGGUAGGUGGCAUGAGGACUGGUUACAUAAUUAACGGGCCCAGUGCAAAAUGAAAGUGCAGGGCCCCUUGUUCAAAAUGUAUUAAGAAAUUCAAGAUUGUCGUAACAUAGCAUUAAUCCAAGUACCGAAUCCUUCUAAACUGGAUUUGGGGGUGAAGGAGGCCAGGGACUCGCUCCAGUUGCACAUUCUUGAGGCCAGCCUAUAUGGCAAAACUGAGAGACAGGAUACUAGAAAACUUCUGUCACUAACUGUAUGAACACGUCGGGCACUUAUUCCAUCAAAACUUCAUCUCUCAUCUUUAAAAUCAAAAGGAUGUUUUUAAGGAAUCACUAUGUUGUGAGUGAUAGAGGUUCAGCUCCCAUUAGCUUAAAUUUCGGGGGACUCAUGUCACAGUUCAGGGUUGGCACUGGCCUUACUCUAGAGCAGGAAUCUGUGAACUUUUCCUGAAAUAGCCAAACGGGAAAUAUUUUCAGCUUUAUCCACCUUAUG